AAGGAUCUUAGUCCUGCUUUAAUUCUCACGUAACACCAAAUACGCCAACAGACUUAAAAGCCUUCAAAUAGGGCACAGCCUGUUUGAAAAAGGAUACAACCUCGCACACAGGGUAAUGUCUUAAUUACGCAAUCAAGUGGGCCUAAGAGCAGCCACCUUUCAAAAAGCGUCACAGCUUAGUUUCAAUUUUCACUAAUCCCAACCCCCCAAACAAAACCCCUCACCCCCACUGAACGACUCCAUACCCCUAUGGAAAACCUCAUGUUAGAACUAGUAACAAGAAAAACUCUCCGCAAAUGUAAGUGUAUGCCAGAAUGAACAUCUCGCCGGCAUUUAUCGUCAAUGACUCUGCAGUAACAACAUAACACAAGAAAACCUUACCCCCCCCCCCGUUAACCUAACACCAGAACUUUCCCGGAAAGAUUAAAAAAGGGGGAAGGAACUCGGCAAAUA
rnacentral:rRNA from 1 species